ensembl:snRNA U6 U6 spliceosomal RNA
GUGCUUGAUUCCACAGAACAUUUACUGAAUUGAAAUGGUAAAGAGAAGAUAAACAUGGCCUCUGUGCAAGGAUAACAGGCAAAUCUAUGAAGCAUUCCAUAUGUUU